rnacentral:rRNA from 1 species
AACGAACGCUGGCGGCAGGCCUAACACAUGCAAGUCGAGCGCCCCGCAAGGGGAGCGGCGGACGGGGGAGUAACGCGUGGGAACGUGCCCUUUGCUACGGAAUAGCCCCUGGAAACUGGGAGUAAUACCGUAUCAGCGCUACGGGGGCAAGAUUUAUCGGCAAAGUAUCGGCCCGGGAUGGAUUAGGUAGUUGGUGGGGUAAUGGCCUACCAAGACGACGGUCAGUAGCUGGUUUGAGAGGAUGAGCAGCCACACCGGGACUGGGACACGGCCCAGACUCCUAAGGGAGGAAGAAGUGGGGAAUCUUAGCAAAUGGGCGAAAGCCUGAUCUCGUCAUGCCGGGUGAGCGAUGACGGCCUUAGGGUUGUAAAGCUCUUUCGUGGUGGAAGAUAAUGACUGUACCCAAAGAAGAACCCCCGGCUAACUCCGUGCCAGCAGCCGCCGUAAGAC